GAUGAACGCUGGCGGCGUGCCUAAUACAUGCAAGUCGAGCGAACGGACGAGAAGCUUGCUUCUCUGAUGUUAGCGGCGGACGGGUGAGUAACACGUGGAUAACCUACCUAUAAGACUGGGAUAACUUCGGGAAACCGGAGCUAAUACCGGAUAAUAUUUUGAACCGCAUGGUUCAAAAGUGAAAGACGGUCUUGCUGUUACUUAUAGAUGGAUCCGCGCUGCAUUAGCUAGUUGGUAAGGUAACGGCUUACCAAGGCAACGAUGCAUAGCCGACCUGAGAGGGUGAUCGGCCACACUGGAGCUGAGACACGGUCCAGACUCCUACGGGAGGCAGCAGUAGGGAAUCUUCCGCAAUGGGCGAAAGCCUGACGGAGCAACGCCGCGUGAGUGAUGAAGGUCUUCGGAUCGUAAAACUCUGUUAUUAGGGAAGAACAUAUGUGUAAGUAACUGUGCACAUCUUGACGGUACCUAAUCAGAAAGCCACGGCUAACUACGUG
rnacentral:rRNA from 1 species